UACGGGGGGGGCAAGCGUUGUUCGGAAUUACUGGGCGUAAAGGGCGCGUAGGCGGCUUUAUAAGUCGGGGGUGAAAGCCUGUGGCUCAACCACAGAAUUGCCUUCGAUACUGUAGAGCUUGAGACCGGAAGAGGUUAGUGGAACUGCGAGUGUAGAGGUGAAAUUCGUAGAUAUUCGCAAGAACACCAGUGGCGAAGGCGGCUGACUGGUCCGGAUCUGACGCUGAGGCGCGAAAGCGUGGGGAGCAAACAGG
rnacentral:rRNA from 1 species